rnacentral:rRNA from 1 species
AUUGAACGCUGGCGGCAUGCUUUACACAUGCAAGUCGAACGGCAGCGCGGGCUUCGGCCUGGCGGCGAGUGGCGAACGGGUGAGUAAUACAUCGGAACGUGCCCAGUAGUGGGGGAUAGCUCGGCGAAAGCCGGAUUAAUACCGCAUACGACCUGAGGGUGAAAGCGGGGGAUCUUCGGACCUCGCGCUAUUGGAGCGGCCGAUGGCAGAUUAGCUAGUUGGUGGGGUAAAGGCCUACCAAGGCGACGAUCUGUAGCUGGCCUGAGAGGACGACCAGCCACACUGGGACUGAGACACGGCCCAGACUCCUACGGGAGGCAGCAGUGGGGAAUUUUGGACAAUGGGCGAAAGCCUGAUCCAGCAAUGCCGCGUGCGUGAUGAAGGCCUUCGGGUUGUAAAGCACUUUUGGCGGGAACGAAAAGGACUGUGCCAAUACCACGGUUCGAUGACGGUACCCGCAGAAUAAGCACCGGCUAACUACGUG